UCGCCCUGAUGAUUGAGUCCAAAACCAUUCGUAGUUUCCACCAGAAGCCAACUAAUGAUGGUCCAAACCUUCCUUGGAUGUCUGAGCGA
ensembl:snoRNA SNORD14 Small nucleolar RNA SNORD14